rnacentral:rRNA from 1 species
AUUGAACGCUGGCGGAAUGCUUUACACAUGCAAGUCGAACGGCAGCACGGGUGCUUGCACCUGGUGGCGAGUGGCGAACGGGUGAGUAAUGCGUCGGAACGUACCGAGUAAUGGGGGAUAACGCAGCGAAAGUUGUGCUAAUACCGCAUACGCCCUGAGGGGGAAAGUGGGGGACCGCAAGGCCUCACGUUAUUCGAGCGGCCGACGUCUGAUUAGCUAGUUGGUGGGGUAAAGGCCUACCAAGGCGACGAUCAGUAGCGGGUCUGAGAGGAUGAUCCGCCACACUGGGACUGAGACACGGCCCAGACUCCUACGGGAGGCAGCAGUGGGGAAUUUUGGACAAUGGGCGCAAGCCUGAUCCAGCCAUUCCGCGUGAGUGAAGAAGGCCUUCGGGUUGUAAAGCUCUUUCGGCAGGAACGAAACGGCGGGCUCUAACAUAGCCUGUUACUGACGGUACCUGCAGAAGAAGCACCGGCUAACUACGUGCCAGCAGCCGCGGUAAUACGUAGGGUGCGAGCGUUAAUCGGAAUUACUGGGCGUAAAGCGUGCGCAGGCGGAUUGUUAAGCAAGACGUGAAAUCCCCGGGCUUAACCUGGGAAUGGCGUUUUGAACUGGCAGUCUAGAGUGCGUCAGAGGGGGGUGGAAUUCCACGUGUAGCAGUGAAAUGCGUAGAGAUGUGGAGGAACACCGAUGGCGAAGGCAGCCCCUGGGAUGACACUGACGCUCAUGUACGAAAGCGUGGGUAGCAAACAGGAUUAGAUACCCUGGUAGUCCACGCCCUAAACGAUGUCAACUGGUUGUUGGGGGAGUGAAAUCCCCUAGUAACGAGAGCUAACGCGUGAA